AAGGGAGUGUCAGGAAUAGAAAUAUUGUCCUGCUAUUAGUUGCUGCUAUUUUUAUAAUCAUCAUUAACAUUUCAGUAUUAAUAGUGAGGUUGCAGUUAGAUGCAUUCAGAUGUUCAAAUAUAUGGUUAUAGCCUUUAUUACAGGUCCAAAGAAGAACCAUUUUAAAUGGUUCUGUUGAAUCUAUAAUUUAAAUGUUAUUAAUGCUUUUAUGAUCUCUGUGUAGAGGGCAGAGACAGGAAAAUACUCUCUGUGCCAAAAUGAGACAGGAAACAAAACGCGUCUGCAGAGCAUGUUUUGCAGAAGUGAAACUGAAGCCAGAAGUUUAAGUGCAAGGGUGUUUAGUAUGCAUUUAUUGCGGAUUAAGCCUUAAGCAGUUGUGGUAGAUUGAAACAGUUGUUUAUAUAUUUCACAUAUAAGUCAAGAUCAUUACACACAGGAUGGCCUUAGCCUGGUUGGUUGCUUAAGUUGAGGUCAACUAAGGAUCAGAAAAGCAGAUGCAAACUCUGCACGCACACACAGACAAAUAGUGAGAGGUCAUGACACGUACGUAGCAUACACUGCAGACACAUACACACAGAAAUGCAGAAGUGUGCCGACGUACUUAGAGGAAGUGCACCAGACGAGCGACAGCGAAGAGGGGAAGCACCGACCCGAAGACAAUGUUUUUUAGAGCAAUGUUAAAGGUCAGGGAACAUUUUGUGGUUUGGAUUGACGUAAGCUGUACUAUUGUCUAUUUUUGUAAAAGAGGGGGGCUUUGUUAUUGUACCCAUAUAAAACCUUGUCUCAUGAUUGUAAGUUCAGUUCAACACUGAUUGGGUUGUUGAACUCACACAUGUGUUCAUUAAAAUGCCGUCUAAAUUGCACACGCCUGGAUCUGUGGUUUUUAUGGAUUCUUCUCUCAACAUUGAACCCUAACAGGAGCGAGAGAGAGAGAGAGAGAGAGAGGUUAAUGGACUUCAAACAAAAGCAUAACAAAAUCAAAACUUCCUUUGAGUCUGCCAGACCUUUUCCUGUCAGAGUGCCUUUGGAUGAUGAAGGAAACUGUACUGACUGACACCUUGAUUUCUUUGCAAUUUCCCUUUUUGUAUCACUCUGAAAUGUACCUUGUUUUCCAGUUUGGGGUAACCUCACCUUUUUUUUUAGCCUCUGACAGUUCAGCACUUACCUUUGUCCCAUUUCAGCUAUUCAUUGGUCUUGACCAACUUGAAUUACAAUAAAUAACUGUAAAUAUUGGGCUGUUUUAAAACCUUUGACUGAUAGUGUGUGUGUGCAUGAGGGUGGAAAUGCAUGCUUAUGUCUGUUUUGAAUGUUAUAAUGAAAAACUCCUAGUAAAAUAAGACUGAGCCAUAAUGGUCCAUUAAACCUUAAACAGAUAACAGUACGGCCUUUGGUUUGAUUAGAAACUGUUGUGUGUGCUUGUUGAUAUUUAUUGAGCUGCUGAGAAGUUACAUUUCAAAUGAGCUGCCACUCUUUAUUCCUUUUAUACAAUUCUCUGGUGUUAUUGUCCAGAUGCUGAAAUACCAUGACUCCAACUUCACAUCUGCAUCGUGAACGAAUCACAGGAAUGUGUUGAAGGUGUGCUGUAUAUGUGUGCUCAAAUUAAAA
ensembl:lncRNA